AUCUAAGUACCCCGAGGAAAAGAAAUCAACCGAGAUUCCGAAAGUAGCGGCGAGCGAAAUUGGACUAGCCCUUAAGCUUUUUAUGCGUCAGGUGAAACUUCUGGAAAGUUGUGCGAUACAGGGUGAUAGCCCCGUAACCGGCAACGCAUAUAAAGUGAAAUCGAGUAGGGCGGGACACGUGAUAUCCUGUCUGAAUAUGGGGGGACCAUCCUCCAAGGCUAAAUACUACUGACUGACCGAUAGUGAACCAGUACCGUGAGGGAAAGGCGAAAAGAACCCCUGUGAGGGGAGUGAAAUAGAACCUGAAACCGUGUACGUACAAGCAGUAGGAGCACCUUCGUGGUGUGACUGCGUACCUUUUGUAUAAUGGGUCAGCGACUUAUAUUCAGUGGCAAGGUUAACCAUCUAGGGGAGCCGUAGGGAAACCGAGUCUUAACUGGGCGUUCAGUCUCUGGAUAUAGACCCGAAACCAGGUGAUCUAGCCAUGGGCAGGUUGAAGGUUGAGUAACAUCAACUGGAGGACCGAACCGACUAAUGUUGAAAAAUUAGCGGAUGACUUGUGGCUAGGGGUGAAAGGCCAAUCAAACCUGGAGAUAGCUGGUUCUCCCCGAAAGCUAUUUAGGUAGCGCCUCGGACGAAUACUACUGGGGGUAGAGCACUGUUAAGGCUAGGGGGUCAUCCCGACUUACCAACCCUUUGCAAACUCCGAAUACCAGUAAGUACUAUCCGGGAGACACACGGCGGGUGCUAACGUCCGUCGUGGAGAGGGAAACAACCCAGACCGCCAGCUAAGGUCCCAAAUUACUACUAAGUGGGAAACGAUGUGGGAAGGCUCAGACAGCCAGGAUGUUGGCUUAGAAGCAGCCAUCAUUUAAAGAAAGCGUAAUAGCUCACUGGUCGAGUCGGCCUGCGCGGAAGAUGUAACGGGGCUAAGUAG
rnacentral:rRNA from 1 species